GCGGCUCGUAGCUCAGCUGGAUAGAGUACCUGGCUACGAACCAGCGUCCAGAGGUUCGAAUCCUCUCGAGCGCG
rnacentral:tRNA from 1 species